GGGGUUGUAGCUCAGUGGUAGAGCACUUGCCUGGCAUGCAUGAGGCUCUGGGUUCCAUCCUCAGUACCACA
rnacentral:tRNA from 1 species